AAAAAGUUAAUUGACAUUGAGGCAUUGGGGCUUUCACGUUUAUCAGUGAUUCUGCUUGAUAUUCACACGGAUGUUAAGGGCUAUUCCUUGCUUACACUUCCCCAAGUCAGAGAUGAGUUCUGGGACUUGUAUAAGAACUACUUUCACCAGCAAGUAGUGCAAGGUGAUCUGCGGGUCUGUCUUUAUGGUCCGAUACCAAAUGGCAAUGAAUUUAAGGGCAAAAGUUUAGAAUUGGCUGAUGGAUAGAGAACAGUCUGGAUUCAUAAAAAAUUUUGAUCUGUGUUGUGCGUGUAUCCUGCAUUUUUGUUUUAAAAAGGUUAAGUUACAUAAUUUUCUUGUCAUCCUUUGCUUAUCCAAUCUCCAUGGUUGCACUCUCAUGGAUUUCACUUUAGUAGUCAGUUAGAUCCAUUUUCAUGGUCUCUAACAAUAAAUCAUAAUCCAAGAGAAUCUAGAUCGAGAAGUCAACUGCACCUACUACCAUCUUCAAUGGAAUCACCACCAAAGUCAUCUAGAAGUUGACCUAUGUGACCAUUGGUUCAGGCCAUGCUGUAAGUCUCUUUUUCUUCAAAAUUAAUGUUAAGGGGAGAGAUUCAUGUGCUUCUUUGUCAAUUGCAGUCUUUUGAGUUUCAAUGACCAUUAUAUGUUGAAUGAAGUGUUUUGCAGUGUAUAAA